UCCUACGGGAGGCAGCAGUGGGGAAUCUUGGACAAUGGGGGCAACCCUGAUCCAGCGACGCCGCGUGGGUGACGAAGGCCUUCGGGUUGUAAAGCCCUUUUCUCGGGGAAGAUGAUGACGGUACCAGCAGAAGAAGCCCCGGCUAACUCCGUGCCAGCAGCCGCGGUAAU
rnacentral:rRNA from 1 species